GAUGAACGCUGGCGGCGUGCCUAAUACAUGCAAGUCGAGCGAACAGACGAGGAGCUUGCUCCUCUGACGUUAGCGGCGGACGGGUGAGUAACACGUGGAUAACCUACCUAUAAGACUGGGAUAACUUCGGGAAACCGGAGCUAAUACCGGAUAAUAUAUUGAACCGCAUGGUUCAAUAGUGAAAGACGGUUUUGCUGUCACUUAUAGAUGGAUCCGCGCCGCAUUAGCUAGUUGGUAAGGUAACGGCUUACCAAGGCAACGAUGCGUAGCCGACCUGAGAGGGUGAUCGGCCACACUGGAACUGAGACACGGUCCAGACUCCUACGGGAGGCAGCAGUAGGGAAUCUUCCGCAAUGGGCGAAAGCCUGACGGAGCAACGCCGCGUGAGUGAUGAAGGUCUUCGGAUCGUAUAACUCUGUUAUUAGGGAAGAACAAAUGUGUAAGUAACUAUGCACGUCUUGACGGUACCUAAUCAGAAGGCCACGGCUAACUACGUG
rnacentral:rRNA from 1 species